UGAGUGCCGGGUUGCCUGAGGAAAGUCCGAACUCCGCAGGGCAGGGUGCUGGGUAACACCCAGUGGGGGUGACCCCAAGGCUAGUGCCACAGAAACAGACCGCCCGGCACUCAGUUUAGUGUAGAAGGUGUCGUACCGAGAAGGUGCUCUCUUACCUCUCAGGAAGAGAGCCUUCUUGGCCAUCUCCACGUUGUACUGAGUGCCGGGUAAGGGUGGAAAGGCGAGGUAAGAGCUCACCAGCAGCCCGGGUGACCGGGUUGGCUCGGUAAACCCCACCUGGAGCAAGACCAAAUAGGGGAACCAUGAAGUGGCCCGCUUCGUUCCCGGGUAAGGUCGCUUGAGGCGCCGGGUAACUGGCGUCCCAGAUAGAUGGCCAUCCAUGACAGAAUUCGGCUUACGGUUUGCUCAAGGC
rnacentral:RNase_P_RNA from 1 species